CUCCAAAAUUGAAACCAAUUAACCAAGCUAAAUAGAACUACUGAAGGCGAAGGGCGAUUGCGAUGAGCCGAAGACAGUGGACUGGUGCGGGGUAGAGUGGUGCGAGUUGAGUGGAUGGUGAUUCGGUGUUGGUGAUCAUUGAGCCGUGAGCGACGAGGAGAUGGACGAUGGAGUGGUGCGAUCGUGCGAGUUGAGUGGACGCGGAUGGCUGCGAGUGCGACUUCUUGCCUUGAUUAUGUUAACGGGAAAAUUACUGCCGAUCUUGAUUCUUGAGGUUAAUCGACACUUUUGUCUUCAUUUUAAAUUUUUUUUGGCAUUGAGGUGAGGUCCCUGUAUGAUGAAUAAAUGAGAAUUGUGAUUUAUGAUUUAUGAUAAAUAAUUUAUGUUGUA